GAUGAACGCUGGCGGCGUGCCUAAUACAUGCAAGUCGAGCGAACAGACGAGGAGCUUGCUCCUCUGACGUUAGCGGCGGACGGGUGAGUAACACGUGGAUAACCUACCUAUAAGACUGGGAUAACUUCGGGAAACCGGAGCUAAUACCGGAUAAUAUAUUGAACCGCAUGGUUCAAUAGUGAAAGACGGUUUUGCUGUCACUUAUAGUUGGAUCCGCGCCGCAUUAGCUAGUUGGUAAGGUAACGGCUUACCAAGGCGACGAUGCGUAGCCGACCUGAGAGGGUGAUCGGCCACAUUGGAACUGAGACACGGUCCAGACUCCUACGGGAGGCAGCAGUAGGGAAUCUUCCGCAAUGGGCGAAAGCCUGACGGAGCAACGCCGCGUGAGUGAUGAAGGUCUUCGGAUCGUAAAACUCUGUUAUUAGGGAAGAACAAAUGUGUAAGUAACUAUGCACGUCUUGACGGUACCUAAUCAGAAAGCCACGGCUAACUACGUG
rnacentral:rRNA from 1 species